rnacentral:tRNA from 1 species
UCCUCGGAAGUAUAGUGGUGAGUAUCCCCGCCUGUCACGCGGGAGACCGGGGUUCGAUUCCCCUGCGGGGAG